UCUAUGGGGUGCAGCAGGCGCGCAAACUUUACAAUGCGAGCAAUCGUGAUAAGGAAACCCUGAGUGCCUGUCGAUGCAGGCUGUUCAUAUAUCUAAAUCAUAUGUGAAGAAAGGGCAGGGCAAGACCGGUGCCAGCCGCCGCGGUAAUACCGGCUGCUCGAGUGAUGGCCACUAUUACUGGGUUUAAAGCGUCCGUAGCUUGACUGUUAGGUCUCUUGGGAAAUCUUCACGCUCAACGUGAAGGCGUCUAAGAGAUACCGGCAGUCUUGGAACUGGGAGAGGUAAACCGUACUUCGGGGGUAGGAGUGAAAUCUUGUAAUCCUCGAGGGACGACCUAUGGCGAAGGCAGUUUACCAGAACAGCUUCGACAGUGAGGGACGAAAGCUGGGGGAGCAAACGGGAUUAGAUACCCCGGUAGUCCCAGCCGUAAACAAUGUGCGUUAGGUGUGUCGGUAACCACGUGUUACUGAUGCGCCGAAGAGAAAUCGUGAAACGCACCACCUGGGAAGUACGGUCGCAAGGCUGAAACUUAAAGGAAUUGGCGGGGGAGCACCACAACAGGUGGAGCCUGCGGUUUAAUUGGAUUUAACGCCGGACAUCUCACCGGAUAAGACAGCUGAAUGAUUGUCAAUCUGAAGGUUUUACAUGACUAGCUGAGAGGAGGUGCAU
rnacentral:rRNA from 1 species